rnacentral:rRNA from 1 species
AUUGAACGCUGGCGGCAUGCCUUACACAUGCAAGUCGAACGGCAGCACGGGGCAACCUGGUGGCGAGUGGCGAAUGGGUGAGUAAUGCAUCGGAACGUACCUUUCAGUGGGGGAUAACUAUCCGAAAGGAUAGCUAAUACCGCAUAUUCUGUGAGCAGGAAAGCAGGGGAUCGCAAGACCUUGCGCUGAUUGAGCGGCCGAUAUCAGAUUAGCUAGUUGGUGAGGUAACGGCUCACCAAGGCUACGAUCUGUAGCGGGUCUGAGAGGAUGAUCCGCCACACUGGGACUGAGACACGGCCCAGACUCCUACGGGAGGCAGCAGUGGGGAAGUUUGGACAAUGGGGGCAACCCUGAUCCAGCCAUGCCGCGUGAGUGAAGAAGGCCUUCGGGUUGUAAAGCUCUUUCGGCCGGGAAGAAAUCGCACGGGCUAAUACCCUGUGUGGAUGACGGUACCGGAAUAAGAAGCACCGGCUAACUACGUGCCAGCCGCCGCGGUAAGAC